CUGGGAAGCAGAGGCCACUUCUUAAAGAGGAGACACUGACCCUUAUCUAGCCUUUAACAUGAGCAAAGAAUUCAGCGUUGCCUCCACCCCUGCCUUUUUUGCACGACUGAGUCCCCCUGAAUUUAUGACGGACAGGUUUGUGGUGUACCAAAUCCCUUGGGAAAAUGCAGAUGUCAGCAAAUUGCCUCUUUUAACCUGGGUCACACGAGUCAAAUGUCAUACCUACCACGCCAUGCUCGGAGAGGUGUGCGUGUUGCAGCACCUGUUGGCUUGUUCUCUAUAGAAUGAGGUGUAGAAACUCAAGAGCAGAGAAAAAAAAAAAAAAAAAAGGAUUUCUCCAAGUUGGCUGCUGUGACCCUGUGCCACCUACCAGUGCUCUGGCUGUGCCCCAGCGAUGUGAUACUCCAACAAGCUGAAAGGGAUGGCUCUCUCCACUUUCUUUUGACCUCGUGAGGCAGUCCAGCAGCUGCCUGGUAGGGACCAAAUGGCACGGGAGAAGAAUAUCUGCCUCGCACCUGCUUUCGCCAAGCCGCCUGCCACAAUGCCACUGUGCCCAGUGGUCCCCCGGGAGGCAAUCCCAGCCCCGGCCCCAUCUCUGUGGAAUACCAGGACAGUGUAGCUGUAAGGUAGUUUUCUCUUCUUCAAAACAUCAUUAGGAUUGAAAAAAAUGAAUCUCUUGCCUGCACAUUUUGCAUAAAUACAUGGUAGGUUAUCAAUUGAUGUUCAAAUAGCUUAAUUGAGUUUGAGGGGGGGAAAGGUCAUUUAAUUGGGCUAUUGAAAUGUUAACAGAAACAGAUAUGGCGAGGAAUAGACUUUAAUGGCUGCAGUGUGGCACUGAUGUCUGCAUUCACUUGCAAAAUUGUUAAUUAGGGCACUUUGGUAGUUCAUUUGCUUUUGUAUUGAUGUGCUUAGUCCAACGAGAGAAAUUGGGUUUGUGUAUGGUAUUUGCACGGGGCAGCAGAGACUUCACCUACACUCAGGAAUAAGGAGAAUAAAGUGUAAAGCACAACCGGUUUCUGAAUUGUGCUGGUGCCUUCAUUCACAUGCUGCCAGUUAUGCAAGGCAUUUUCCAUGAGCUAGUGCAUUUUCAUAUGUGGUUGAGUUUGGUACUUCUAUGUAUUUGGCUUCAUUUUUUUAAUGGUUGUAGUAGUGGGCUAGAAUAAUGCUAUAAUAUGACUUUAAAAAAAAAAAAAAAGUUAGGUAUUCCAAGCUUUUAAAACUACAUUGAAACAGUUUGUACUGCAAAAACAAGGAGUUAGAGAUUCAUUUUGCCCCUGGAAGGAGGUGUUAUCUCCUUAAACAUAUACCAAAAGAAUAUAUUAGGUUGCAAUUCCUGGCCCACAGUCAUCAGUGCCAGUGAAAUUACAAAACCAGCUCUUGGUGUAUGCCUGAAGUCCAUCGUGCCCCUCUUACAGAACAUAAACCUUGAAGGUAUUGGCAUUUUGUAUGUGGGAAUGGUGAAAUUGCACCGAUUGUCCACCUGCAUUUUUUGAGGGUUGUAAUUGCGCGGAUUAAUCCUGGUGCUGUUUCAUAAUAGACUGGCUGGAUGCAAAGCUUUCUAUUUGAGUUGGCUGCAAGAAGGCUGCAUUGUGUACAGUAUAUAAUAAUACAUUAUACUCUAGGUACUCUUUAUAAACAGAGGCAGCAAGAAAAAGAACAAGGGAAGAACCAGGAGCCGAGAAUCCUCACUUUUACAACAGGGAUCCUCUUGUCCUGCUGCAGCAGGAAGGGGCUCGGAGAGAAGGUGACGUUUUGUAGCGUAUAAAGCACCGGUCUCAACAGCUCCCGGAUGAAAAGGGCUUUUUGUUGCCCAUAAAUAUUGUGUCACGGCGGUGAUUUCGCGUUGGGUGCUGUCUGCGGGGCAGCGCCGCCGUUUCGGGACGGCACCGGGGGAUUUGGGGCGCGCUUUGCGGCGCAGCGUUUCUUUCAAACUCCCGGCGUGCCUGUAGCAAGGGUUGACAUCAGCUUCAUUUACUCGUAUGUAGUCGGGAAAGCACUCGCCCGAAGAUCACAAAUCUGCACGCUGCGGCUAUCUGGUUCGCAAGUUUAAUCAGAGUCCCAGAAAGUUUCAUUGUGGCUGCAUGCAAAUGUAUUUACAUAGGAAUGGGUCUUGGGCUCUUUAAAGAAGGCAACAAAGUUGAAGACUGAGGCCAACAAAUAAAUGAAAGUUUCUCUAAAUCCAUUGGAUAAUAGAGGCAGUGUUAAGGCUAACCACAGUGUUGAACUAAACAGAGGGAUUACUCCUGGGUUUUGCAUCAGUUGUUUUCUGCCGGGUGGCCUCACUUGUCAAAAAAAAAAAAAAAAAAAAAAAGUUUAACGGGAGAACAUUCACAUGGCACGUUGAGAAAAGAAGUAUGCUUAAUUCCAUCAAAGCUCAGAAAUCAGUCAUUAAUUUAUUCUAACCUCCGAUUGUUGGUCAUUUGUGAAACAUCUGGCCUUGAAGUCAUAGGAACCCAAACACGAGUACAAUGUGAGCCCUUCUGAGGACGGGGCUUUGGGGGAGCGGGCGCCGGGCGAGCCUGGGGGGGCGGGGGGGAAGCGCGUGCUCCCGAAGUUGCAACUGCCUCUUCAGUCCUGAGACUUUGCAACAUAUUAAAAUGAAUCCUUCAGUUAAUUUACUCUCGAAAUUAGAUUAUUGUUCAUUUGCAUCUUGGAAAAGUUGUGCCAUUAAAAAGAGCCGCUUUCUUCAUGGUGAGUUAGCAGUCAGAUAUUUAGCAAUCUUGCAGCUUGCGAGUCAGAAAUAGUUUCUAAUGAAGUUGAAAUUCGAGAUAGAAAAUGUAUAAAAGCUUUCAGGAAAGACAUACCCUAUUUUCCAUAUGGCUAAGUAAUUGUUAUGAUAUUUGUUUUAAAGCUGGACUUAGACACUCCUGACUGCCCUCUAAUUUGAUAUGGCUGGUCCAGACGAUUCUUCUUGAGGAAACUUUCGUAGCAGAACGCAGUGGAGGAGAUAAAUAAUUUUGCAGCUAUAAGCACAUUGCAAAGUAUAGAAAAUAAUUCAGUCCUCUCCGCUGUUGUGCGUGUAACAGUCUCCAGGUUAUUUGACUCUGCGAGGAGUUUGAAUGGAAAGGAACUGAGUGAUUAAAAGCAGAUUGGAAAUAAAGGUGGCACCUCGGAGCUGGCAAAACUCUGCCUUUUGUUAAUCUUAAAAUAAUGACUGCUAUUUCGUUCUGUGGGCCGGGGUUUUGUUUUCGGCUGGGGAGGGAACGGAGCUCCUCAUGUGUAGCUGAAACGUUGCCCAAUCCCCCGUGAUGAAAUCCACUGUAUUUCACGUGGGCGUAGGGUGAAAUUAGGAUUUAAAUGUGAGGGGGAAAUGGAGACCUGGCAAUCACACCGCCAGGCCGGUGGGGACAUCUCCCGUACCUGCCCGUGCUUCUGGUUGUUUUUAAAGGCCGAUGUUUCCUUGCUGGCCUGGCCGUUUGUUUCCUUGGUGAGAGAAGAAACUUGCCAUUUUGGCAAACGUAGCGGUGCUGUCCGAGCACGUAACAGAAAGAAAGAGUUUGGAAGGUUUUGUGUGAAGCGCUUCUUUCUCUUCGUGUUUGGUUAGCCUUUCCCUCAUUGCUAAGUAAAUAAAUCUUUAAUCCCCAUCCCAUUGUACAAUUUACUGUAUCGGAAUCACGGCCAUUGUAACUCCUUUCAAGCCAGGUUUUAUCCUUUCACACCGAAGGGAUAGCUGCAGUUUUGGCACUUGGACACGUUAUAUUAAAAAAAUACAAAGAGCCAACGAGGGCCGAGUUAAUACACGGGGAUGCUCGGAGCUGGCUUGGUGCUCCCAUGGCGUGGCCACGAUUUCAGCAACACGAACUCGAAGCGCUGGGGAUCCCGUGGGUGCUCGCGGACAUGACGGCCGCACGCGUGGGACGCCGACGUGGAAGUCGUGAGCCUUCCCCAAGCACUGAUGGCCAAAACACCGCCGGGAUGGCGGAGAUGAGAGCGGGACCUCGUUAAAGAGCUUGAGAAAUGUAACGUUUGAGACGGCGCUUUGAGGACGCGCCGAUUAUGGCUGGCGUGGUGGCUCUUCCCAGCGCUCUGGGAAAUGAGCUGUUGACAUUCUUUUGGGUCAUCAUCCGAGAUAGGAGGGCAACCGCAAGGAUUUAGCAGAUAAAUUCAUCCAAAAAGACCUUUAUCCAUUUCACUGCGACUUGGAAACGUUCAUGUCGGAUAGCGGCAUUAAUGUAGCCCUUUUAGCCCUUCAAAGCGAGCCUUAUGUUUAAAAAAAAUAAUAAAAAAAAAAAUCAAAUGACCGGAGUAAUAACUUCUUUAGGUCUUCUAAGAGGUAAUUCGUUAUUUACAUAAUUCUGGAGUAUAAACCAAUCUUUCCUUCAAGAGGCUCUGAAAUAGAAUUGGGAUCUUACAGAGGGAGAGAGUCUCUUUUGAAUUCUAAUCAACUGGAUCUGUCUCAAAUGCACUCCUAGUUGAUUGUAAACAGUGGAAUUUAAAUUAAUUUCUUCUUAUCUUGUCUUUUGAGGAAAACCAGCAAUGUGUUUAAAAGGUUUUAUUUUUAAAUGCAGCUCAGCGUUUAUUUUGUGGGGGGAUUUUUUGUUCCUUUUUUUUUUUUUUUCACUUGAUAAAACAGGUGUUUGGCAGGAUGGGUUUUGACAGCCAGACAACGAUUCUACAUCAGUCUAGGUUAUUAUGAAAUAAAUGGGGAAAAAAAAAAAAAAACUUUUUGACUUGAACUCGAAUGAUACUAUAUAGGCUGAAUGUGCAGGGAAGGUUCCCACAAUGCACUGUGAAAACCUAGGCUAACAAACACCCUGCUGCGUUGAAAACCCCCAAAAAAGACAAAAGCACAAUGAAAUAGAAAGCUUACCACCGGUAGCUUUCAAAACGACAAACUAGGCAAACUAUACAUCUCCACCACUCCAAUUUUGUCAGAAUGCUAAUGAGCUUGCUCUGAUCUUUACUCGGCUUCCCGUGUUUUCUACAUCUUCAAGGACCACAUGGCGCUAGCAAAAUAAAGACAACUAAAUGAGAAUUUCGAAUGCUUUUUGUGUUGGGACCUGGUGCCUUUCAGUUGACGCACUCGUUGAAUAUUCUCAACUUAAAAGCGUACAACAGGGGGCUGGGUAUGAACUUUUUAGCGGGGGAAAUUUGUACAAAAGUAAAUUAGUGUGAUGAGGAAAAUAUGAGAAAAAUUUCUGAUUAAUUUCCACUCUAUAAUAUCAAUGACACCUUCAGCCCCUCUCAUACUCCUCUAACAAGAGAUGCUGAUAAAAGAUGAAUGAUUCUGUGUUGUUCACAGUGAAUGUUUAGUGGUUUUUUAAUAGCAGCAUUCUACAUAAAAGGCACCAGGAAGUACUCUGCAUUAGCAGUUGAGAUCACUAGUUAAUAGGAUGAUGUCUUUUAGCUUUUGUCACAAGAUUAUUAGAAAGGAUGGGUUUCUGUUCUCAUCCUGGCAUACUUUGGAGUGCUUCUUGAGUACAAGUGCUAAAAUACAGGUUUCUCCGUAUUGUUUCGCAUGCAAAGUAAAAGCCCCUUUAAUGCAACACCUUUUACUUUUUUUACCAGGUGAUUUUGUCAUUGAUCUCUUAUCUGCCCCCCUUUAGCUGUAUUAAUCACUUGGAGUGUUCUGCUUCUCAAUGGGUGCUUGAUGAUGUAUAUGUGUGCAGCUUCACUAUCAAAAAUAAAUCCCUUAUAUGCUCUGCACCUUCACAAACCUGAUUAUCAAGCUGUAUUUACCAGCCUGCAUUAUACAGUCUUGAAUGCUUCCUCCUGGAGUCCGUCGGUCUGUAAUAGGAAUUUGCACUUGGGGAGGGAGGGCUAAGCUAGGAGGAGGUACCACACUCCCUCAAACAAGUUUUGUCUUUUAAAAACAAUUGCAUUCGCAAUUCUCUUCGGCGUUUUCAGAAGGAAAUGUGGGUUUGUAUCCACCGGUGUUAGCACCAGGGGAGGAAAAUUAUGAAUGUUCAGUUUUGCAUGAGAGAUGGGCUCCAUUUAAAAGUUGUUUUUGUUACAGUCCUCUCUGUCAGCAGGAAGGGAUACAUUUGUGUAUUAGUCCCUUUUGUAUGCUUGUUUCUCUCUUCAAAAUACACUUCCUUGGACUAACUAUUGCCCCUACCCAAACUCACGUGUACCAACAAGCUGACCAUGCCCUCCUGCCAAGCAGUAACCUGUGACUCUUCAGGAGAAGCGUCGUUGCAGCUGUUUGCUUGGGAAGCAGAAAGUGUGAAAAAUAUCUGUCCAUAUACAGGAAAAAGUUGUAGCGAGACAGGGAAAUCAGUACAUUUUUUUCAUAUUUUCCUAUCUUACCUGAAUCAGAAGGAGGGAAUAAAUAACAGCAUGGUUUUUCCAGCACUGUGCCACGCUUGCUUUCCACGUGUGUGAUUGUUUUGCUUAGCUCAGCGUGAUUAAUCUCAGGUGAACUGAAAGCUGGCCAGACCACGCGAUGGCAGAGAGUUGUCUGACCGUAUUGUGAAAGGUAAAGAUGGUGUUGAAUGCCGAACCAGAGUGAUGAGAGAAAGGACAGUAUAAUAAUGGCAAAGAAAAUCAAAAAGUAUUGCCAAAAGCGGUAUUUUUACUAUCGACAUUUUUGCAUUUAACAUAAAAGGUGAGCAAAAGCGUUAAAAAAAAAAAAUCUAGAUACAUGAAUGAUGUGUACAUGACACUGGUUUGGGUUUUCGCUGGUGCCAAUUUGUAUUUCCUCCUAGAUACAUCUGAAGGUUAGGAGGCCAGCAGUAUAUUACUCAUACCAAUUUGUGUUGGGCAGAAGAAAAGUUUUUUGACACUUGAGCAUGAGAAGCUGGUUUAGUGUUUUAUUGUAACUUGGUAAUAUUUCACAAAACUAUGCAUUGGUAGUUACUGCUUUUUUUUUGGAUCAGUAAUAUGAUGAGGUACUUCACAAGAUGCUUCUCUGCAGAAUUGGGGGAUGUUAAUUCGACAGAUUUAUGGGAACGGGAGUUUUGGCAGCUACCAAAACUGAAUGAGAAGUGUGACGACAUUUCGGUCUGGGUCACGUUUACAAUGUGCUCCACGUUGAGUCCAAGUGUGCCUUGACCGCCUUGAAUCACGCUGAAGCCUACAGAGCUGUGAAGAAACACCUGCUAGCAUUGAUCUCAAGCAGUGCAAGGCCAUUCAUUAGAAUUUGUUAAGGCAAAUAAACUGGCACGCUAGUAAGAUGUUUUUCUGACGUGAGAUUCCCAGAUCUGACCCUUUUCCUGCACAAGCAGUGUGUUUGUAGUUGCUGGGAUUUUAUGAGCAAUUGAGAACUUCUUGCGUUCUUGAGGCUUGUCAGCCUUUCUUCAGUUUCCCUUCUGUCGUGCUGCCUCCACAAAGUCUCUCGCUGGCCAAUUUGUUCCUCUCCAGUCUUAACUCCUCUCAGCAGUUCCUGUGAAGCAACCUUGGCUUGCCUUCGCUACAAAGGAAGAUCAGCCAGCCGUACCUUUCCAAAUGCCCGGCAUUUCUACCGCUGAGGAGCUCCCACUGAACAAGCACACCAUGCCAAACCCCGGAGCACGUGGUUCUGACCCUCUCAUUCACCUCAUCUCUUCAGUCUCAGAUCCGUGCGUUUGUAGGCAGAAGUUCCCAGGAAGAGACCUUUCCAAGACCAGAGGCGGGCAGUGUACACAUUCAGCUUUCCCAGGCCAAGUUCAUUAAAUUGUAAAGAAGCUCAGCAGCGACGAUGACCGUGGUGAUUUUUUUUUUUUCCUCAAAGCAAUACCGAGUUGCCGUUGGCUGCCUAAGGACUGAACGAGAGGUCAGCCUCCUCUCCGUGCACUUCCCUGGCUGUAGCCUCAUCGUUGCCUUGAAAGAACCUGUCAACAAAGUGCUUGAAGCCAGCUUGAAGAAGAGAGCCUGAACGCAGCGCUGCCCGCAUAGCAGGAGGCUACUCUGGGAGAGCCCUAGGCGCUAUGAAUAGACUUGCAAGCCUUCCAAAAGUCUUGCAAGACCCAACAGACACUUGCUUCUUUUAACUGAUUUCCAUCUUUCUUUGUGGUAUUGCAGUAUAAAUGGUCUUUCAUGUGGUCGGCAUAGGCUUUGGCUUUAUGCCUGGGAGUUAGCUUUCUCUGCAACCAGCGCCUGCUUGUAAAGAGAACGGCGAGGAGAAAGGCACUUUGGUCACCCCGGGGCUUCCAGCCCACGGGGCCACUGCAGUCUACAGAAAGCCCUGUUAUUUCUACUUGGGUUUCUCCAUUUUACCACCGAAAUCACUUUUUCUGUCAACACGGGAAACCAUGGAGCCCCAGGACACCUCAGCCUAGCUGAACUUGCCCAGUUAGCCCCGGGAAGCUUUUGGGUCCCAGAGGUACGAACCUGCCAACUCCCAGUAAGACAAGGCAUCUUCAUUACCACCAGUAGAAGGUCCCAUUCAAUGCUGGCUGUUAUCUCCCUUCAGACAGUUGUUUGGGUUAAACUCAGCCCUGUCCAGUAAAGAAGUCAUUUUUUUGCUGUCCACCACCCCUUCCCAGCCCCAGGAGAAUAUAUCCUGAAAGAAGCAAGGCAACAUUUGGUGGAAAUGGGAUGAUGUAGAGCACAGUCCAAAGACUUUAAGGUUAGCUUCCCUCUCACCUCAGGAUUGUAACCAGCCAUCGCUCGCCAUGUGAACCAGCAAAUGGGGUGUGAACUGGUCUAAGGAUUAGUCACAAGCUGUGGAGUAAUUACUGUCACUUAUAACAAAGCAUCCAACUCUACUUUUUGACCUGCAAGCAAAAUAGUUUGUCUGCCAGACCAUCAUCCUGCUCUUGGUGAAUUUCCAAAUGUGAACUAUUGUUUUUUUCCAUCGCUUCAAAGGUUCGAGUGUCCCAGUUAACAGUGCAUGUUUCCUGUGCUGCAAGCAAGGGUCUGAUGUAUGCUUUUCCCAAGCCGUGCUUCUUCUGAAGUUGUGCUACAGGAGAAAAUUUGGGAAUACAGAAAUUGCAGAGCGUGAUGAAGGACACGUGUUGGUUCUGCCCAGUGCUGGGGUCCCUGCAGGCACUGUCCUCAGGAAGGAACCGCUGCUUUCGUACAGAAGUCUCUCCAGAUUUUUCACUUGAAUCUCACCUUUUGCUGCCUGAAUUUUGGGUCAUGAGCUAUGCAUUUUCUUGGUCUUGGUUGAUAACCCCACAUUUAAAACGCACUCAUUUUGAUCAAGCCUAGGCGUUCUGUUUCUGUUGAUUUUCUGUUAUUUUCUAGUGGCCGCUCUGUUGACUUGUUGUGUAGAAAAAAAAAAAAAUCAGCGGUCUUUCAGGCAGCUCAUCUUUUGUGGAAGUUUUGAUCCUGUGAUAAUUUUGGGUUGCCAAGACGGCGGGCCACAAAUGUUUGUCUUUCUGUGAGUCAGUCCCACUGCAGGUAGAAUAAAUCCUUGUCUGCGCUGCGCUGUGGUCAGAGCCCUGACCUCCUGUUUACACAGCUCUCCAAGUUUUAAAUAGGCUCUCUGAUUUAUUGUGUCUCAGAAGCCAAAGAAAUUACAAGUUUCCUGCUUGAUAUUAAGCUAAUUUGAUGUGUUCUUGCGAUAAAGGAAUUCCCUCGGUCGAGGCUCUGUUUCGUUAGGGUUACAGUAUUUUCGGGGCUGGAACAGGCGGACAAUGCACCGCAGUGCAAUUCUGCCUGGCAGAUUCUUGGCAGUCGGCACCUACCUUUAUGAGACUUCAUUGUGUGGACAUCAAUGUCUCCUUCUCAACUGCUCUCAGACAGCAAGUUAGUGGCCAUGAAUUUGCCUUUCUAAUGUUCCUUAGGCAUUUUCCCAUCCAGCUCAGACUAGGAAAAUCAUUCUAGGGCUUCCUCUGAUAGCUAGCACUCCUGCAGUGUCAUAUAGAGAGGGCUUCCAUCCUGCCUGUCUCUCGGUGGCUAUUCUCGUUCAUUUUCAGUGGUUUAUACUAACGAAGGAGGUCCCUGUUCAGUGAAAGGAAUAAGUAUUCUGGAAGAAAGCUGGGCAUGGUAAUUCUGACAUGGGAGGCAUGAAGCUCAGGGUCGAGCAGGUUCGUGCUGUGGGGUGCUUACUGCAGGCUCUGUUUUGACACUUGGAGCUUUGAAGAGUUACUUUACCCCAAAUUCUGAGGUUUUCCACCAAAGAUUGGCCUCUUAAAGAAGAGAACAGAGGGGUCUCUUUUGGGAUGCCUCAGUUUCACCCAAAGGGAAGAGCUGUGAAUGGCAAGUCGUGUCCAGAUCCUCACCGUGACCUGCAGUCGAGUUGGGUGUGUUUUGGAGGAGGUCUGGUGUAGCUCCUCUUUCUGAGGAGUAUCAGCUGUGAACGUGGGCUCUUCUCUUUAAGUGUUUGUUAAAUUCAGUAACUUGCUUUCAAAAUGAAAGCUCAUCUGGGCACAAACUGUUCACAGUGGGUGAGAGGAGAAGACUGUUAAAAGCAGUGGAAAGUCUGCUGUUGGCUUUGAAGGGUUCGAGACCUUCCACCAGCCUUUGCUAGCGACAGGACGCUGGUCAGCUACGACACACGGUGUUGCUUCUCUUCCCUGCCCGAGCUUCCUUUCUGAAAAGCUGUAAUUGCCACGGUGGAUCAGCCCCGUGACCUGCUCAGGAAUAUUGUCUUGUAGAGGGACGGGUUCAUUUCGAACCCUGCCAGGGGAAAGAAACUCUGCAGGGGCCAGCUACAGGCUAACCCGUCUCCAGGGAUCAUUUCAUUCAACCUCUAAAAAUGAAAGGUUCCCUCGUGUCCUAAAGCAGGCAGAUCCAACUCCUACCUCUUUUGCUUUUCGUUUGGUUGUUGGGAUAUUUCUUGCUACGGCUUGGCCUCCCCGUCGUCACCGUUCAACCCGGUUUUAAUUCUUGCUGAGCUCUUAGUUUCAACAUCGCCUUGUGGCAACGAGUCCUACUGGUAAACGACGAGGCUUUGAGGGAAGGCAGUUCUUUUUAUCGGUUUUAAACACACCACCUUCAAUUUCAGUGCAUUUCCCCGGGUUCUUAGGAGACAAGAUGAGGCACAUCCUCAGACUAUUCCUUUAUUUGCUAUUCAUGUUCUCCUUCAGGUAAACAAGCCAAUCUGUCCGGUUGCUCCUAAUACAGAAACUCGUAAAAACGCGUCCCCAUGAUUGGAUGAACGCAACUUUAUUUUAUUUUAUUUUUUUUUUUUCCCAGCGGGCAAACAAACAGGGGGGUGUAGGUUUCCAAAAGGGCUUCCCGUUAAAUUUGUGGAAUUCGCCGGCGUUUGGACGGCUCUCGGUGGCCAUCUCGCCCCCGUCAAACACCAACUAGCACGGCCCUAGCAAAGCUGGCCAGUUUUUGUCAUUAUUCGCCCCGCUCCAGCUCGCAUGGGCUGGCAUUCUCUCGCUGGCCUCUUCACCCAAGUGUGUUGAGUGAAGAAAGCUUCUUCUAUUCUGUUUUAAAACUGUGUGUAAACACCAGCAAAUGGGGGAAGAAUGGGCUCUGUCUUAAGUAGGUUGUUUUUCAUGUCGUUCUGUCGAGGUAAAUGGGGAGAUGGGGAGUUGUCAGUGUUUAACCGUGACACCAUGGCACACACUAUACGCAGUGCAAAUAAAAUUUAAAAACAAUUACUGCUCGAGACAGCAUGCAAAGUGAUUUCUGUAAACCUGUUAUUUCUUGCCAGAUUGAAUGGGCUGGUUUGGGAUGCUGAUAGAAAGCCUUUAUUAUUUAUCUUCUGUAGGUUGUAAUUCAUUUUUGCACAACAGCUAAAUACAUUUACAUUUAAGGAUUUUUUUAAAAUAUGAAUCUAUUGGCUUAUCUUGACAGAUUUACGAUGGUAUAAAGUGUAGAGGAGUUACUGUGUUCAUCCAUUUACACUGUAAACUAAUCUUGCCCCUGCAUGUUGCUGCUUUUUCUUCCUUUUAAGUGGUAUUCACAGUGUUUUGUAGCACUUUAUUCUCUGUUUUCUUAGCGAUGUACAGUUUUGCUAUGUUAAUCCAUAUUUGGUUUAUCUAAUGACUAGCUGCCCGAAAGGCUUAAAAAUAAUGGAUCUAAUGGCACAUACACGUACUGAUAGCUGGCUGAUCACAAGGGGUGUGUUGGGAAGUAUUUUCAGCAGGAAAGGAAAACAAAAAAAGAAAAAAAAAUGCUCUUUCAAAUUAACUCGGGACAGCCAUUUGUCCAAAUGCUCGUUAUUUAAAUAUUUAACAAAUAAUUAGCUUACAGUUCAAACAGAAAUCCAUCUGCAAAUCCUGGAGAAAGCAAAGGGAAAGGUAUUUUAUAAAGGCUGCCUGGAAACUGUGCAGCACUAAAAUAAGCUAGUCCCUCGUAUUGUUCUCAAAAAAAAAA